UACGGGGGGGGCAAGCGUUGUUCGGAGUUACUGGGCGUAAAGGGUGGGCAGGCGGCCGUGUCAGAUGGGUGUGAAAUCUCCCGGCUCAACCGGGAGGGGCCACUCGUGACUGCACGGCUGGAGGGCAGCAGAGGCGCGUGGAAUUCCGGGUGGAGUGGUGAAAUGCGUAGAGAUCCGGAGGAACACCAGAGGCGAAGGCGGCGCGCUGGGCUGCACCUGACGCUGAACCACGAAAGCCAGGGUAGCGAACGGG
rnacentral:rRNA from 1 species